ACUCCUACGGGAGGCAGCAGUGGGAAUAUUGCGCAAUGGGCGAAAGCCUGACGCAGCCAUGCCGCGUGUGUGAAGAAGGCCUUCGGGUUGUAAAGCACUUUCAAUUGGAGAAAGCUGCUGCCUAAUAAGCAUCAGCUGUGACAUUACCUUAGAAGAAGCACCGGCUAACUCCGUGCCAGCAGCCGCGGUAAUACGGAGGGUGCGAGCGUUAAUCGGAAUUACUGGGCGUAAAGCGCGCGUAGGCGGUUUGCUAAGUCAGCUGUGAAAGCCCGGCUC
rnacentral:rRNA from 1 species